rnacentral:rRNA from 1 species
CGGUCCCAUUCCGAACCCGGAAGCUAAGCCCUUCAGCGCCGAUGGUACUGCACCCGCCAGGAUGUGGGAGAUUAGGACGCCGCCGAAC